GCCUCUGUAGCUCAGUUGGUUAGAGCGCUGCACCGGAAUUGCAGGGCCGCUGGUGAAAUUCCUGCCAGGGACC